rnacentral:rRNA from 1 species
AGGACGAACGCUGGCGGCGUGCCUAACACAUGCAAGUCGAACGAGGCUUAUCCGGUAGCAAUACCGGAGACUGCCUAGUGGCGAACGGGUGAGUAGCACGUGAGCAACCUGCCCCGAAGACUGGGAUAACACCGGGAAACCGGUGCUAAUACCAGAUGCCCCCGCCGGAUCGCAUGAUCUGGUGAGGAAAGGAUUCCGCUUCGGGGAGGGGCUCGCGGCCUAUCAGCUAGUUGGUGAGGUAACGGCUCACCAAGGCUUCGACGGGUAGCUGGUCUGAGAGGACGAUCAGCCACACUGGAACUGAGACACGGUCCAGACACCUACGGGUGGCAGCAGUCGAGAAUCUUUCACAAUGGGGGAAACCCUGAUGGAGCGACGCCGCGUGGAGGAUAAGGUCUUCGGAUUGUAAACUCCUGUCAUGCGAGAACAAAGCCUUAUGGGUGUGAUAGUAUCGACAAGAGGAAGAGACGGCUAACUCUGUGCCAGCAG